CGGCGCCCUCCCUCCGUCCAAUGAGCGGGCCGCUGGGAGGCGGGACAAAGGGAGCGCGCAUCCGCCCGGAGCGCGUUCUCGUGUCCCGGCCCUGCCUUGGCCUCUAGUAAAUGGCGGAGGUGGUUUUAAUUUUUUUGAGGGCUGAGGAGAUCACUUCCGAAGGCGGUAACUGCAGCCUCCCUGCCCCUCCAAGGUGGUGCUGGAAGGACCUCCAGUCUUUCCUCGCCUCAUCCCACUCCACGGCGGGACUUUGACAGGGUUACCUCUCGACCCUCAUCCCACUCCACGGCGGGACUUUGACAGGGUCGUGCAGUUAACCCCGGGGGCGCAAAGAGGGGAGUCAUUCCUUUCGUGCAUCCUGACACACACAGGUUCUUCCCGGAGACGAAUGGUGCCAGUGAUGGUUGCCCGCUCGGAUGCGUAGUUUCCAGUUUACAUUUAGAACCGACCUGCCAGACUCCCUCCUCUACUCUCCCCACCACCACGACCCGCCUGCCCCGUUCCCCAAGCCUGAGAAGUUGCUGGCUACGUGUUUCUAUAAAGAAUGAGUGAAAAUUCUGCCUUUUGGGGAAGCUACCGCAGCUGGGGUACCCACAAGUAAUGUUUUAGAUGUAUUGAUGGCCCUGCCCAAGAAUGAAGACCUCAAGUUAGACUCCUUGGCUGCCUUGUUUCCUUGAAUUAGCACAGGGAAGUUGGACCCAACACUCUUAAGAGUGAACUCAGCUCUGGGAGCAGUGUUUAACCCGGAUAUUUAUUUGAUCAUUUAUAACACGAGGAGACCUAGCAACAUUUCAGAACUGAAGGGAUCAGUGUAACAGACAAAGCAACUCUGUCACAAAAGGAAGCCUUCAUCUUUUUAAAGUGGGGGUGAAAGCAGCAGGAGUGCAUAAAAUGGCAUAUUUCCUUUCUGAAGACAAAGGAGACAAAAAGACCAGUGUAAUGUUCUGUCUCCCAGGCUGGAGUGCAGUGGUAUGAUCACAGCUAACUGCAGCCCCCCUGGGCUGAAUCUGUCCUCCUGCUUCAGCCUCCUGAGUAGCUGGAACUACAGGUACAUGCCACCACACUCAGCUAAUUUUUGUAUUUCUUUGAGAGAUAGGGUAUCGUCACGUUGCCCAGGCUGGUCUCAAACUCCUGAGCUCAACUGAUCUACCUGCCUCAGCCUCCCAAAGUGCUGGGAUUAUAGGUGUGAGCCACCGUGCCCGGCCUAAGUUCAUUAGCUUUCUACGCUCAAGUCUUUUGGAGAAGUUUGAGAUGUGACAGCAGCAGGCAUCAGAGGCUAGCAGCUCUCCCCCACCAUGAAGAAUUUUUCCCAUUCAGAUUCCAGCUUCCCCCUCUCACACCACCCCAGAGGGCAUGGAGAAGCUGGCUUUGCUCAGGAACCACAAUAAAGUGUAGUUUGUUAUGUGUGAAUGUAGAGCAUGCUGUUCUCCGUCCAACAUAAAUCCAUUUUUAUAACCAAAACUAUAAAUGACAGUGGAGCCAAAUUUGCUACUUUUUGGACAGACAUCUUAC
rnacentral:lncRNA from 1 species